CUUUUACAGUGAAAAUGAAAAAAAUAUUAUUAAAAACUUAGAACAUAUUGUUCUAAAUUUUGGUAGAACCUAAAGGAGCAACAGCACCAAAAGGUGACAGAAAAACCCAGGAUAUAUAUAUCUUCGUUUUUUUCCUGUGAAUGGGCUAAAUGUAUUCAGCCCAAGCGGAGUAGCGUAAGCUUCCAUUCAAUUUUGAAUGACAGGUAUGGUGACACGCCCCCUUCAUAUGCUUCCCAUUCGGGGUAAAGUCAUUCAGCCCAAGCACAGUAGCGUAAGCGGCCAUUUUAUUGCGAUUGACAGGUGUCGUGACACGCCCCCUUCAUAUGCUUCCCACAUAGCAGGAGACUCCUAGGCGGAUCCGCCUUCAAUCCGCCAAACCCGCGUAAGCUGCCUCAUCCGUUUGGGCGCCGCCCAGAGGAUCAGCUCCGCCUCCGAAAGUUCUACUGUCAUACAGCGGAUCCUGAGCGGAUCCAUGUCGGAUCCCUGUACGCGGACGCGCCUUUCACAGAGGAUGGCUCCGCCCACUGUCAAACAGCGGAUCCUGAGCGGACCCAUUUCGGAUACCUGGAUGCGGACGCGCCUUUCACAGAGGAUGGCUCCGCCCACUUAUAACGGUUGAACUUAACAGCUAUCGCAGACGCUUAAAGAACCGGAGAAGGUCAAGUCAUCAUCCGAGAUUUUCUGUGCUUUUUGGACUUUGGGCUGAAUCCUCUUGACUGACUUCAACUUUUCUGCCAUUGCCUCCUCUGCUGGGUUUGAUUGAUCAAGAUGAGUUUUCAUCUCAUUAAGUUUGCCAACGGGGACAUUGCUGUGGUCCCGGAAAAUUGGUGUGAUGACGGGAUGGUGUACUGGCCAAAAUAUAAAAACACCGAACGUGCCAAAAGGGCAGCGGCCAACAGUGAGACACCAGAGUCAAACUGGCCAAAAUAUGACAUCAUGGUCAUCAGAACUUGUGACAACUACAAAGAUGCCUGUAGGCUAAUGGAGAAGUACCAGACGGGCUGCAACACCACUGAUCUUCAGUCUGAGGCAGAGGAGGAGUGUGGGCCGCCAGAUAAACGACUAAGGAAGGCAGUGCAUCACUUUGGGGACUCUGAUGAGAGUGAAGAUGGUGGCCAAUUGCACUGGCAGACUCCAACAUCUCGCCGAGGGCCAGGCAGCAGCAGCAGAGUCUCUCUGCUCUCUGCACUUGAGGAAAACUGUCUCGGUAAAGACUGA
rnacentral:lncRNA from 1 species